UUACGGCCAUAUCACGUUGAAAGAACGGUUCCCGUACAAUCAUCGAAUUUAAGCAACUUUGAGCCUGGUCAGUACCUAGGUGCGUGACCGAUUCGGAAUACCCGGAUCUGUAA